rnacentral:rRNA from 1 species
GGGAAUCGUGCGCAAUGGGCGAAAGCCUGACGCAGCGACGCCGCGUGGGUGAUGAAGGCCUUCGGGUCGUAAAGCCCUGUCGGGCGGGAAGAAAUCUCGGCGGUCUAAUAUGCCGACGACUUGACGGUACCUCUUAAGGAAGCACCGGCUAACUCCGUGACAGCAGCCGCGGUAAUACGGAGGGUGCAAGCGUUGUUCGGAAUCACUGGGCGUAAAGCGCGUGUAGGCGGCCAUCUAAGUCUGGUGUGAAAGCCCUGGGCUCAACUCAGGAAGUGCACUGGAUACUGGAUGGCUGGAGUACCGGAGAGGAGGGUGGAAUUCCUGGUGUAGCGGUGAAAUGCGUAGAUAUCAGGAGGAACACCGGUGGCGAAGGCGUCCCUCUGGCCGGAUACUGACGCUGAGACGCUAAAGCGUGGGGAGCAA